AUUUGACGUUAGCGACAGAAGAAGCACCGGCUAACUCCGUGCCAGCAGCCGCGGUAAUACGGAGGGUGCGAGCGUUAAUCGGAAUUACUGGGCGUAAAGCGCAUGCAGGUGGUUUGUUAAGUCAGAUGUGAAAGCCCGGGGCUCAACCUCGGAAUUGCAUUUGAAACUGGCAGACUAGAGUACUGUAGAGGGGGGUAGAAUUUCAGGUGUAGCGGUGAAAUGCGUAGAGAUCUGAAGGAAUACCGGUGGCGAAGGCGGCCCCCUGGACAGAUACUGACACUCAGAUGCGAAAGCGUGGGGAGCAAACAGGAUUAGAUACCCUGGUAGUCCACGCCGUAAACGAUGUCUACUUGGAGGUUGUGGCCUUGAGCCGUGGCUUUCGGAGCUAACGCGUUAAGUAGACCGCCUGGGGAGUACGGUCGCAAGAUUAAAACUCAAAUGAAUUGACGGGGGCCCGCACAAGCGGUGGAGCAUGUGGUUUAAUUCGAUGCAACGCGAAGAACCUUACCUACUCUUGACAUCCAGAGAACUUUCCAGAGAUGGAUUGGUGCCUUCGGGAACUCUGAGACAGGUGCUGCAUGGCUGUCGUCAGCUCGUGUUGUGAAAUGUUGGGUUAAGUCCCGCAACGAGCGCAACCCUUAUCCUUGUUUGCCAGCGAGUAAUGUCGGGAACUCCAGGGAGACUGCCGGUGAUAAACCGGAGGAAGGUGGGGACGACGUCAAGUCAUCAUGGCCCUUACGAGUAGGGCUACACACGUGCUACAAUGGCGCAUACAGAGGGCGGCCAACUUGCGAAAGUGAGCGAAUCCCAAAAAGUGCGUCGUAGUCCGGAUUGGAGUCUGCAACUCGACUCCAUGAAGUCGGAAUCGCUAGUAAUCGUGGAUCAGAAUGCCACGGUGAAUACGUUCCCGGGCCUUGUACACACCGCCCGUCACACCAUGGGAGUGGGCUGCAAAAGAAGUAGGUAGUUUAACCUUCGGGGGG
rnacentral:rRNA from 1 species